UAGUCUGGGAUACCACUUGGAAACAGGUGCUAAUACCGGAUAAGAAAGCGGAUCGCAUGAUCAGCUUUUAAAAGGCGGCGUAAGCUGUCGCUAUGGGAUGGCCCCGCGGUGCAUUAGCUAGUUGGUAAGGUAAAGGCUUACCAAGGCGAUGAUGCAUAGCCGAGUUGAGAGACUGAUCGGCCACAUUGGGACUGAGACACGGCCCAAACUCCUACGGGAGGCAGCAGCA
rnacentral:rRNA from 1 species